UGGGGAAUAUUGCACAAUGGAGGGAACUCUGAUGCAGCGACGCCGCGUGAACGAAGAAGGCUUUCGAGUCGUAAAGUUCUUUUAUAUGGGAAGAUAAUGACGGUACCAUAAGAAAAAGCCCCGGCUAACUACGUGCCAGCAGCCGCGGUAAUACGUAGGGGGAUAGCGUUGUCCGGAAUCACUGGGCGUAAAGGGUUCGCAGGCGGAAAUGCAAGUCAGGUGUAAAAGGCAGUAGCUUAACUACUGUAAGCAUUUGAAACUGCAUAUCUUGAGAAGAGUAGAGGUAAGUGGAAUUUUUAGUGUAGCGGUGAAAUGCGUAGAUAUUAAAAAGAAUACCGGUGGCGAAGGCGACUUACUGGGCUCAUUCUGACGCUGAGGAACGAAAGCGUGGGUAGCAAACAGG
rnacentral:rRNA from 2 species